rnacentral:rRNA from 1 species
AGGACUAACGCUGGCGGCGUGCCUAACACAUGCAAGUCGAACGAAGUAGCAAUACUUAGUGGCAGACGGGUGAGUAACACGUAGUCAACCUGCCCUUCAAUGGGGGAUAACUAGCCGAAAGGUUAGCUAAUACCGCAUACGAUCUCUGAGUGGCAUCACUCGGCGAUGAAAGGAGUAAUCCGUUGAAGGAGGGGACUGCGUCCCAUUAGUUAGUUGGUGGGGUAAUGGCCUACCAAGACUCCGAUGGGUAGCUGGCUUGAGAGAGCGACCAGCCACACUGGAACUGAGACACGGUCCAGACUCCUACGGGAGGCAGCAGUGAGGAAUUUUCCGCAAUGGGGGAAACCCUGACGGAGCGACGCCGCGUGUGGGAAGAAGGCCUUCGGGUCGUAACCACUGUCGAGGGGACGAUAUUGACGGUACCCCUGGAGGAAGCCCGGCUAACUACGCGCCAGCAGCCGC